ACCAAACAGCUAGCUCAACCAACCGCAAUUAAAACCGCAGUAUACAUAAUUUUUCAUAAACUUAACAACUAAGACUAAACCAUUCGACCACCCCAGUACGGGCGACAGAAAAGGAAUAAUGAAGCCAUAGACAAAGUACCGCAAGGGAAAGCUGAAAGAGAAGUGAAAUAACGCACUUAAGUAAAUAAAAGCAGAGAAUAGACCUCGUACCUUUUGCAUCAUGAUCUAGCCAGUAAUCCCAAGCAAAGAGACCUCUAGUUUGUGACCCCGAAACCGGACGAGCUACUCCGGGACAGCCUAUUGUAGGGCCAACCCGUCUCUGUGGCAAAAGAGUGGGAAGAUCCCCGAGUAGAGGUGAAAGACCUACCGAGUCAGGUUAUAGCUGGUUGCCCAAGAAAUGAAUAGAAGUUCAGCCCCGCCAAGCCCCUAGCCACAGCAGUCUUACUAAAAUUAGGCCGUGGGACAGGUGCGGGAGUUAGUUAGAGGAGGUACAGCUCCCCUAACAAAGGAUACAACCUUAACAGGAGGCUAAAGAACAAAUUUAACCAAGGUUUCAGGUUUCAGUGGGCCUAAGAGCAGCCAUCUGGACAGAAAGCGUUAAAGCUCAGACCAAUCAAAACCUAUUAUAAGAUUAAAAUCUCUAAUGCCCCUAAAAUUAUUGGGCCAUCCUAUGCCCUCAUAGGAGAGACCAUGCUAGAACGAGUAAUAAGAAGGAUGAACUUCUCCCUGCACACGUGUAAGUCGGAUCGGACCCACCGCCGACAAUUAACGAACCCAACAAUAGAGGGACCUACGCUACUGCCGCACCCGGCCGAGAAAAUCACGCAAAGUACAAUCGUUACCCCUACACAGGUGUGCAUAAAAAGGGAAAGACUUAAAGGAAGAAAAGGAACUCGGCAAACACAAACCUCGCCUGUUUACCAAAAACAUCGCCUCCUGCCACUAUAAAUAUAGGAGGUCUCGCCUGCCCUGUGACCAAAAGUUUAACGGCCGCGGUAUUUUAACCGUGCAAAGGUAGCGCAAUCAAUUGUCUUUUAAAUGGAGACCUGUAUGAAUGGCAUCACGAGGGUUUAGCUGUCUCUUUUUCCUGGUCAAUGAAACUGAUCUGCCCGUGCAGAAGCGGGCAUAACAUUACAAGACGAGAAGACCCUAUGGAGCUUUAGACGCCCACCAAUCAUGAAAAGCAACCCCGAUCAAGGGGCCCCUAAGCAACAUGGCCCUGGCACAAACGUCUUCGGUUGGGGCGACCACGGGAGAAAACAAAGCUCCCGAGCGGAUAGGGGACACCCUAAAACCCAGAGCCACUGCUCUAAGUCACAAAAUAUUUGACCGACAAUGAUCCGGCUUCUUGCCGAUCAACGGACCAAGUUACCCUAGGGAUAACAGCGCAAUCCCCUCCCAGAGUCCAUAUCGACGAGGGGGUUUACGACCUCGAUGUUGGAUCAGGACAUCCUGAUGGUGCAGCCGCUAUCAAGGGUUCGUUUGUUCAACGAUUAAAGUCCUACGUGAUCUGAGUUCAGACCGGAGUAAUCCAGGUCAGUUUCUAUCUGUACCGCCACCCUUCCUAGUACGAAAGGACCGGAGAGAUGAGGCCCAUGCUGUAAGCACGCCUCCCCCCAACCUGAUGAAUACAACUGAAGCAGGUAAAGGGGGGCAACCCCCGGCCCUAGAGAAGGGCGC
rnacentral:rRNA from 1 species